rnacentral:tRNA from 1 species
UAAGGCUUAAAAGAUUUUUUCUUAUAUUUAUAGCUUUGAAGGCUAUUAGUUUAUUUAACUUAAAGCCUU